rnacentral:rRNA from 1 species
UUGAAAGGGAAACGAUUGAAGUCAGUCAUGCCGGUGGGAAUCAACUUAGGGGAAACUCUAGGUGCACUUCUUCGCUUGGCAGGUCAACGUCGAUUUUGAAUGUCAUAAAAUAAUUGGGGGAAGGUAGCUCCUUCGGGAGUGUUAUAGCCCUUGGUAGAUGUGAUGUCUGGGAUCGAGGAUUGCAACGGAUACCCUUUGGGGCUAACCGCCUGAUCUCUAAUUGGUGUUGGGUUACGGACAGCAUGCUGACCGUGAUCUAAUUACUGGUUAAAAGGUUAGAACGUGUAUAAAUUCGUUAAGGAUGUUGACGUA